rnacentral:rRNA from 1 species
GAUGAACGCUGGCGGCGUGCUUAACACAUGCAAGUCGAACGGGAAUUAUUUUAUUGACACUUCGGUCGAUUUAAUUUAAUUCUAGUGGCGGACGGGUGAGUAACGCGUGGGUAACCUGCCUUAUACAGGGGGAUAACAGUCAGAAAUGGCUGCUAAUACCGCAUAAGCGCACAGAGCUGCAUGGCUCAGUGUGAAAAACUCCGGUGGUAUAAGAUGGACCCGCGUUGGAUUAGCUGGUUGGUGGGGUAACGGCCCACCAAGGCGACGAUCCAUAGCCGGCCUGGGAGGGUGAACGGCCACAUUGGGACUGAGACACGGCCCAGACUCCUACGGGAGGCAGCAGUGGGGAAUAUUGCACAAUGGGGGAAACCCUGAUGCAGCGACGCCGCGUGAAGGAAGAAGUAUCUCGGUAUGUAAACUUCUAUCAGCAGGGAAGAUAGUGACGGUACCUGACUAAGAAGCCCCGGCUAACUACGUG